GGCGCACAAAGGAACAGAAAUGAACAGGAAGGGUCAGCAAGGAGCUGGAAGGUAAAGCAGCACAAAGGUAAAGUAGAAGGAGCAGAAAGGGUCAGAAAUGAGCUGGAAGGGGCAGAAGGAGCACAAAGGUAAAAUAGGAGAAUGAGCAGGAAGGAGCACAAAGGUAAAGGAGCAGAAAGAAUCAGAAGGAGUACAAAGGUAAAGUAGAAAAAGGAGC